GGGCUUCACAGUCUUGCAAUUGGAAUGAGUAGAUUUUAAAUCUCUUUACGAGUAUCAAUUGGAGGGCAAGUCUGGUGCCAGCAGCCGCGGUAAUUCCAGCUCUAAUAGCGUAUAUUAAAGUUGUUGCGGUUAAAAAGCUCGUAGUUGGAUUUCUGCCAAGAACGACCGUCCUACCUUCGGGUUUUGGACCGUGUUGAUCGAGGCAUUCUUCUAGAUUCUAUCUACUCUUAAUUGCUGUAGAAUUGAACUAGAACAUUUACUUUGAGGAAAUUAGAGCGUUUCAAGCAGGC
rnacentral:rRNA from 1 species